GUUGUUAUAUUUUAAAUUUGAAUCAUACUAAUCGUUCCUUAACAAUAUGAUUGGGAUUUUUUAUCUUUAUAAGAGAUUUUGGAUUCGAAUUAUGUUUCUUGUACAUUAUUUUUAGGAGAUUGUAUCACCUAAUUAAUGAAAUAUAUGAAUUUUUAUUAAAAAAAUUAAAUCCUAAAUUUUAUUUUCAUUUUUCAGAAUUAAUAUUCUUUUUGAAAAGUAAGAGAGCUUUUAUCAAUAACAAAUAUAUUUAUAAAACUAACCAU
rnacentral:lncRNA from 1 species